AUUGAACGCUGGCGGCAGGCCUAACACAUGCAAGUCGAACGAGUGGCGGACGGGUGAGUAAUUUCUGGGAAACUGCCCGAAGGAGGGGGAUAACUACUGGAAACGGUAGCUAAUACCGCAUACCAUCGGAUGUGCACAGAUGGGAUUAGCUAGUAGGUGGGGUAACGGCUCACCGAGGCGACGAUCCAUAGCUGGUCUGAGAGGAUGACCGGCCACACUGGAACGGAGACACGGUCCAGACUCCGACGGGAGGCAGCAGUGGGUAAUAUUGGACAAUGGGCGAAAGCCUGAUGCAGCCAUGCCGCGUGUAUGAAGAAGGCCUUCGGGUUGUAAAGUACUUUCAGCGAGGAGGCGUUACUCGCAGAGGAAGCACCGGCUAACUCCGUGCCAGCAGACGCGGUAAUUC
rnacentral:rRNA from 1 species